UACGACUACAUAUCAGGCAUAUCAAUAAGCGGAGGAAAAGAAACUAACAAGGAUUCCCUUAGUAACGGCGAGUGAAGCGGGAAGAGCUCAAAUUUGAAAUCUUCAAGGUUUUACCUUGACGAAUUGUAGUUUAUAGAAGUGUUUUCUGUUGAGUUGCGGUAAAAGUUCUUUGGAAUAGGACAUCAUAGAGGGUGAGAAUCCCGUAUUUGACCGUUAUUCUCUAGCUGUGUGAUACACUUUCAAAGAGUCGGAUUGUUUGGGAAUGCAGUCCAAAAUGGGUGGUAAAUUUCAUCUAAAGCUAAAUAUUGGCGAGAGACCGAUAGCGAACAAGUACCGUGAGGGAAAGAUGAAAAGAACUUUGAAAAGAGAGUUAAACAGUACGUGAAAUUGUCAAAAGGGAAGCGUUUGACACCAGUGUUGUUUUCUCGAAAAUCAAUUAAAAAAUGCUUGAUUUUGUGUUGUAUUGACCUUAAAAGCUUUCUUCACUUUUUUCAUGUCUAUUUUUAAUGCACUUUUCGUUUAACAAGUCAACAUCAGUUUCUUUUGUUGUAAAAAGGUCAUUGGAAGGUGGCUUUCUUUUCGGAGAAAGUGUUUAUAGCCUUUGACUCCUGCAAUCGGAGAGACUGAGGUCUGCAGCGUAGAUCCUUCUGGAUUAGAUUCACUUGUGCUAAGUUAUAGCUUUUCAUAGACAACUUGUUGACUAUGUUUAGUCAUUGUAGCUUACUCGCUUGCGUAAUUUUACCUACGCUUAGGAUGUUGAACGCGCACAGAGUCUC
rnacentral:rRNA from 1 species